rnacentral:rRNA from 1 species
UACGGAGGGUGCAAGCGUUAUCCGGAUUCACUGGGUUUAAAGGGAGCGUAGGUGGGCUGGUAAGUCAGUGGUGAAAUCUCCGGGCUUAACUCGGAAAGGUCAACCGAUACUGCGGGGCUAGAGUGCAGAAGGGGCAACUGGAAUUCUCGGUGUAGCGGUGAAAUGCGUAGAUAUCGAGAGGAACACCUGCGGCGAAGGCGGGUUGCUGGGCUGACACUGACGCUGAAGUGCGAAAGCUAGGGGAGCGAACGGG